CGGCGACGGGUGAGUAACACGUGGAUAACCUACCUAUAAGACUGGGAUAACUUCGGGAAACCGGAGCUAAUACCGGAUAACAUAUUGAACCGCAUGGUUCAAUAGUGAAAGGCGGCUCUGCUGUCACUUAUAGAUGGAUCCGCGCCGUAUUAGCUAGUUGGUAAGGUAACGGCUUACCAAGGCAACGAUACGUAGCCGACCUGAGAGGGUGAUCGGCCACACUGGAACUGAGACACGGUCCAG
rnacentral:rRNA from 1 species